UUCUUCCCUCCCAGGCCAUUCGCGCCAUUAACCCCUGCAGCGAUACCGCCAUGACUGCAGAGGAGUUCACCGAUACAGUGUUCUCCAAGAUUGACGUCAACGGGGAUGGGGAACUCUCCCUGGAAGAGUUUAUAGAGGGCGUCCAGAAGGACCAGAUGCUUCUGGACACACUGACACGAAGCUUGGACCUUACCCGCAUUGUGCGCAGGCUCCAGAAUGGCGAGCAAGAUGAGGAGGGGGCUGACAAGGAGGCCGCUGAGGCAGCCGGCUGAGCACACCGCCCAGCUGCUUCUGCACUAGCGGGUGGGGUGGUAUGGUGGUGACUGGUGGUGUUGCUCUUGUCUUAACCCUAGAUAGAAUCUACUAAACUCAGAGGCUUAGCUCGCCUCUUUGGGGUACAUGGUGGCAGCAGAGAGGCAGCAGUGGGAGGCCAGAGCCAGGAACAGUGAAGGAUGGUUCCUGGCCCCUCUGAGUGACAGCUGACUGCAGCACUCCCUGCUGGGGGCACUGUUCAGCAUCCCUCUGCUGUCUGGUGACCCCCUAGCCCUUCUGGCUCCUCUCCCAGUUUUUCCCAGCUUUCUCCACUGAGCUUCUCCAUGCUCUUCUGGAUGUGGACUCUCUGAGGCAGAGCUGAACUUUCCCAGGCCUCUUACGGAAUCCUGCAGAUCCGGUGGCUGCAGCUUCAAUCUCAGUGCUGCAAUCACACAUCCAUUCUGCCCCGGGGACCCUGGAGCCUACUUGUGUGCUUUGCAUUUGAUUCACGCCUCCCUUCAACAAGCAUUUACUGAGCGCCUACUAUGUACUAAUGCUAGAUGUUAGAUGUACAGAGAAGACAGUUUUCAUCCUCAAGGAACUCAUAGGCUAAUGGUGAGACCUACAGACAAACAUCAUUAUAAUAAAACAUGCUAAGAGAA